rnacentral:rRNA from 1 species
UACGUAGGUGGCAAGCGUUGUCCGGAUUUACUGGGCGUAAAGAGCGCGCAGGCGGUCGUUCAAGUCGCGUGUGAAAGCCCCCGGCUCAACUGGGGAGGGUCACGCGAUACUGAUCGACUCGAAGGCAGGAGAGGGUAGUGGAAUUCCCGGUGUAGUGGUGAAAUGCGUAGAUAUCAGGAGGAACACCAGUGGCGAAGGCGGCUUCCUGGACACCAACUGACGCUGAGACGCGAAAGCGUGGGGAGCAAACAGG